AGUGAACGCUGGCGGUAGGCCUAACACAUGCAAGUCGAACGGCAGCACAGUAAGCGCUUGCUCUUACGGGUGGCGAGUGGCGGACGGGUGAGGAAUACAUCGGAAUCUACUUUUUCGUGGGGGAUAACGUAGGGAAACUUACGCUAAUACCGCAUACGACCUACGGGUGAAAGCAGGGGUUCUUCGCACCUUGCGCGAUUGAAUGAGCCGAUGUCGGAUUAGCUAGUUGGCGGGGUAAAGGCCCACCAAGGCGACGAUCCGUAGCUGGUCUGAGAGGAUGAUCAGCCACACUGGAACUGAGACACGGUCCAGACUCCUACGGGAGGCAGCAGUGGGGAAUAUUGGACAAUGGGCGCAAGCCUGAUCCAGCCAUACCGCGUGGGUGAAGAAGGCCUUCGGGUUGUAAAGCCCUUUUGUUGGGAAAGAAAAGCAGCAGGUUAAUACCCCGCUGUUCUGACGGUACCCAAAGAAUAAGCACCGGCUAACUUCGUG
rnacentral:rRNA from 1 species